AUAUUUUUUGCUGUGUUACCUCUGCUGCUAAUGAAAAACAUCGGAUGUUCCCUUCACUUCACAAAAUGCAAACUCAGACAAAAAUAUUUCACAGGGCAGUACUAACUUGGGCACCUUGACUUUUGAAAAUGAUCCUCAAGUGAAUGAAUAUGGCCCAACACUAGAUGCCAUUUACACUGGUGUAAAGCAACAGUAAAUCUGCUGAAACCAAGGGGAUUACAUUGUUGUAAAAAAAAACCCUGGGAAAACAGAAUCAGAUAAAUCUCACCCUGCAAAUUCUGCAUCCGUCCUAUAACUACUAUUUGAGGGAUAAUAUGUCUUUAAGAAAGACAUCCAGUCUUGAUUUAAAGAUGCCAAGUGACGGAACAUCUACCACAUCCUUAGGUCAUUGAUAAACAUUGGACCAAGAACAUUUCCCUCUGGGACCCCAUUAGAAGCAACCCAUUGGAUGAUGAUUGACCAUUUACAAUUACUUCUUGAGAUCUAUCAUUUAACUGGAUUUUAAUCAAUUUAAUUUGGGCUACGCUGAUUUUGCAUAGCACUAUUUUUAUUAAUCAGCAUGUCAUGUGGGAAUAAGUGUAAGACUUACAGAAGUCUAAGUAUAUUAU